UGGGGGAUAUUGCACAAUGGGCGAAAGCCUGAUGCAGCGACGCCGCGUGGGGGAUGAAGGCCUUCGGGUUGUAAACUUCUUUUGCUCUGAACAAGGCAUGCCUUUGGGGUGUGUUGAGUGUAGGGGUUGAUUAGCGCCGGCUAACUACGUGCCAGCAGCCGCGGUAAUACGUAGGGCGCGAGCGUUGUCCGGAAUUAUUGGGCGUAAAGGGCUUGUAGGUGGCUGGUUGCGUCUGUCGUGAAAGCUCAUGGCUUAACUGUGGGUUUGCGGUGGGUACGGGCUGGCUUGAGUGCAGUAGGGGAGGCUGGAAUUCCUGGUGUAGCGGUGGAAUGCGCAGAUAUCAGGAGGAAUACCGGUGGCGAAGGCGGGUCUCUGGGCUGUUACUGACGCUGAGGGGCGAAAGCGUGGGGAGCGAACAGG
rnacentral:rRNA from 1 species